rnacentral:tRNA from 1 species
GUGGCUGUAGUUCAAUGGUAGAGCCAUGGACUGUGGAUCCAUUCGUUGCGGGUUCGAAUCCCGUCAGCCACC